CCAAUAGCGUAUAUUAAAGUUGUUGCAGUUAAAAAGCUCGUAGUUGAAUUUCGGGGUUCAUACGUUGGUCGGGCUUUUUGGUCUGUACUAGCGUAAUGGAUUCCUGCCUUCUGAAUAACCGGCAUGCCAUUAAUUUGGUGCGCCGGGGAAGCAGGACUGUUACCUUGAAAAAAUUAGAGUGCUUAAAGCAGGCUAUCGCCUGAAUACAUUAGCAUGGAAUAAGGAAAUAGGACGGCAUGGUUCUAUUUUGUUGGUUUCUAGGAUCACCGUAAUGAUUAAUAGGAAUAGUUGGGGGCAUUAGUAUUCAAUUGUCAGAGGUGAAAUUCUUGGAUUUAUUGAAGACUAACUUCUGCGAAAGCAUUUGCCAAGGAUGUUUUCAUUAAUCAAGAACGAAAGUUAGGGGAUCGAAGACGAUCAGAUACCGUCGUAGUCUUAACCAUAAACUAUGCCGACUAGGGAUCGGACGAUGUUAAUUUUUUAAUGACUCGUUCGGCGCCUUACG
rnacentral:rRNA from 1 species